ensembl:lncRNA
GGCGAUCCCCCUGGUGGAGCAGGCAGUAGCGAUGCAAUUGUGUCCUAAGUUCGCCUCCUCCUGGUAGGGAGACCCAGUGCUUCCUUCCCGGGCUUGUAGGCAUUCGUCUGGUCUAACCGGCAGUGCCUAUGCGGCUGCUUCCACCUUAAAUGCCAUAGUGUUACUGCAGGUGCACCAGUCCAAGGCACUGAAGGACCUGCACGAGGGUGGUCAUGAUCCGGAAGUUCUGAAAGAACUCCCAACUGCAACUGACCUUGUGCUCCGAGCGACAAAGGUCACCACAAAUGUCCACGCUUGUGGUCUCUGGCUGUGUCUGGCAGACAUGGGAUGCUGACAAGGUUCGGUUCCUCAAUGCCCCUGUGUCCCAGAACGGCCUCUUUGGCGACACAUCCUGCCCCGGUGGGCAGCUGCUGCCUCCACCCGUCUGCCGGCUUCAGAGCCCCAGCCUGCUUGUCGCCAACUGUCCAGGUCCCUGUCAAACCUGGCAGCAAGCGGAAGAGCAAGCGGCCGGGGGAACCCAGAAAUGGAGGGAUCUGCUCUUCGGGAGAUGGUGAACGCAUCACUCCCUCCCCCGGAGGAGGGCCGGGUGGAGAAACUUUUGUUUCUUUUUUCACGUCGUUGACCUCAUGGCCGACGGUACCCAAAUCCUUGACAAAAGAGCAGUUUCCUUUAUCUCUGGGUCCCAGGAGGCCUCACAAGCCGCCCGAACUGGGUCCCUGUGUUCCACCUCACUGCCCCACUGCGGGUAUGGCUGUGUUUCUGCUGGUCCCGCUUGUACAGUUUCUAGGCACCUGGUCAGCGCUACCCAGCCCAUCUCGCUGGCUUCUGCCCAUCAGUCUUGGCUAUGCAAUUCAGUUUGCCCGGCGUCCCCCCAAGUUCAGCGGUAUCCGCUUCACGGCAGUGAAGGUGGCCGAUGCUCCUGUCUUGCGUGCGGAGAUCGCAGUCCUACUGGCAAAGGAUGCGAUGGAGCCGGUCCCUCCAGCCGAUAUGAAGACGGGUUUUAUAGCCCCUACUUCAUUGUACCCAUGAAAGGCGGUGGG